rnacentral:rRNA from 1 species
UACAGAGGUCCCAAGCGUUGUUCGGAUUCAUUGGGCGUAAAGGGUGCGUAGGCGGCGCGGUAAGUCGGGUGUGAAAACUCGGGGCUUAACCCCGAGCCUGCAGUGGAUACGGGCAGACUAGAGGUAGGUAGGGGAGAAUGGAAUUCCCGGUGUAGCGGUGAAAUGCGCAGAUAUCGGGAGGAACACCGGUGGCGAAGGCGGUUCUCUGGGCCUUACCUGACGCUGAGGAGCGAAAGCGUGGGGAGCGAACAGG